UACGUAGGGGGCAAGCGUUGUCCGGAAUUAUUGGGCGUAAAGCGCGCGCAGGCGGCUUUGUAAGUUUGGUGUUUAAUCUCAGAGCUCAACUCUGAUUCGCAUCGAAAACUGCAAGGCUUGAGUACAGAAGAGGAAAGUGGAAUUCCACGUGUAGCGGUGAAAUGCGUAGAGAUGUGGAGGAACACCAGUGGCGAAGGCGACUUUCUGGGCUGUAACUGACGCUGAGGCGCGAAAGCCAGGGGAGCAAACGGG
rnacentral:rRNA from 1 species